UUUAUUUGAGAGGUUGAACAUGGAUAAAGAUGAACGCUGGCGGCGGGCCGAACACAUGCAAGGUGAGCGAUUUACAUCGGUAAAGAGCUGCGGACGCGUGAGUAACGCGUGGGUAACCUACCCUGUACACACGGAUAACAUACCGAAAGGUAUGCUAAUACGGGAUAAUAUAU
rnacentral:rRNA from 1 species